GACGAACGCUGGCGGCGUGCUUAACACAUGCAAGUGGAGCGACGAACCGGGGCUUGCCCCGGGGCAGAGCCGCGAACGGGUGAGUAACACGUGGGUAACCUGCCUCAAUGAUUGGGACAACCCGGGGAAACUCGGGCUAAUACCAAAUGUGUUCACUCCUUUUAAGGGGAGUGAGGAAAGGAAGCUUCGGCCUCCGCAUUGAGAUGGGCCCGCGGCCCAUUAGCUUGUUGGUGAGGUAACGGCUCACCAAGGCUUCGAUGGUAGCUGGUCUGAGAGGACGAUCAGCCACACUGGGACUGAGACACGGCCCAGACUCCUACGGGAGGCAGCAGUGGGAAUCUUGCACAAUGCGCGAAAGCGUGAUGCAGCAACGCCCGCGUGGGGGAAGACGGGCCCUUCGGGUUGGUAAACCCC
rnacentral:rRNA from 1 species